UCCCUAAAUCUCUCCCACGUCUAAACCAAAUAUUCUCCUCUCUAUAAUAUACGUUUCACCAACCAGUUUUUUUCAAUUCACUGCAACGAGAGGUUGCUGAUUUUGAGAAGUCCGAUAUCAGUGUUGUGAUGGUUGCCUGCGUGACGUGAUGAGAUGAAGGAGGCAGCGGCGUCGGGCGACGGAGGAGCUACCGACCAGCAACUCAUAACUGCUCGAGCAACAGCUAACCGCGAGACGGCGGCGCGGAGUGCAGUGCUGACAGUGGCGGCUGUUCGCGAUGGAGACAACAGUGGCAGCGGCAGAUUCGGAAACGGCUACAGCUGCUGCUCGAACGGGUCGAUUGGUGCAGCCGACGGCGAGCAAUACCGACGAGCGAGGCAGGGACGGAGCAGCGGCGUCUGACAGUGGAAAACCUGUUUACGAACAGCGGCGGUGUGAAGGAGAAGCAGCGACGGAGAGACAGAGACUUUGAAUUGGAGUUUUGAGAGAGAGAGAGAACAUGUAAUGAGCUUUGGUAGAAAGAAGUGAGGGAGACAGAGACGUGGUUUUGGGCUGCCCCAUUUUAAGUUUUGGGCCAAGGAAUAAUAUAAAGGAUGAGAGCAAUGUUAUAAAGUCGCAUAGAAUUCGGAUCGAACGGGUUAUCUCUGCGAGCAAAGUAAGAUCGAAGAGGAGAACUCAAAUUCAGAAAAUUAAAUGAUCGAGGUUGAGCGGUGACGAGCGCG